GACGAACGCUGGCGGCGUGCUUAACACAUGCAAGUCGAACGGAAAGGCCCUGCUUUUGUGGGGUGCUCGAGUGGCGAACGGGUGAGUAACACGUGAGUAACCUGCCCUUGACUUUGGGAUAACUUCAGGAAACUGGGGCUAAUACCGGAUAGGAGCUCCUGCUGCAUGGUGGGGGUUGGAAAGUUUCGGCGGUUGGGGAUGGACUCGCGGCUUAUCCGCUUGUUGGUGGGGUAGUGGCUUACCAAGGCUUUGACGGGUAGCCGGCCUGGGGGGGUGACCGGCACAAUUGGAAAGGAGGUAGGGCCCGACCCCCAAGGGAGGGAAAAGGGGGGAAUAAGGGAAAAAGGGGGGGAAGCGUGGGGAGGAACCCCCGGGGGGGGAGGAAGGGCCUUGGGGUUUAAAACCGUUUUGCCCGGUGAGGAACGGUAGGGAGGGGAAAGGGGUAAGAAGGAACGGGCAAAAAAGGG
rnacentral:rRNA from 1 species